GCCGAGACCUGUUCUGUCACAUCUGCAGGAACUGGGAUCUCUUGGGUACCGCUUCACCUGGUGCACUGCAUGCCAUGGCAAACACCACCCUGGGGCAGCUCGGGAGGAAAUAAACCCUCUUUGUACCGUGAGAGCGAAGAGUCUCUUUGACCUCCCAUCUUAGGUACCCCCUGCCCCAGGGCAGGUUCCCCCCAGGCAUUCGCCAGGCCCGGCGAGAUGCGGGGGGAGCCCAGACGCGGCCCCCUUCCUCCCAGCCCCUUCCCCGGAGAGCGGCCAGCAGUCGGAGCCGUCCCUCCUCCAGAGGAAAGGGAAAGCGAAAGCGCAGCGCCGUGACGCCGCGGCGAGGGGCCGGGGGCGGCUGCACUCCGCCGGCACCGCCACCCGGGCGGCGGCUCUGCCGGAGCAUCCUCGCCUGAGCGUCCCCCUCGCCGGACUCCCCCGGACCGGCCGCCCCGGAGCAUCCAUCCCUCCCGGACCACCUCCACCGAGCCUCCCCGCCUGCCCGGGAGGUCCUCAUUCCUAAGCAUGGUGGGUUUCUCCCACAGACCCUUAUCAUCUCCUGGCUGCAUGGAUGAAGUGUGAAGAGCAGAAACUCUGUGCACAGCCCAAGUGUCAGGAGAUGCUCCAUCUGCUUCUGCCCCAGCCUGACAUCCUGUGCAGCUUUCAAGCAAAUCCCUGUCUCUUUUCGUCUCCGUAUCCAGCCAUCCUGGUCUGGGGUGAUCACAGCUGCUGUGCUUGUCAGGUGCUGGCAGGGGAACUUCCAGGCUUCAGUGAUGGAUUCAGAUGUGGAAGCAGAGCCCUACAUGCUGUGCUGUGCAGCGCAAGGGGAAGCAGGUGAUGGGAAAGCAUGUGAUCCAUGGUUUAUGGCCAGAAGAGGAAUGGGAUGAAGUCAAGGUUGGGAAACCUCCCUCUUUGGAAGAAGAGAUAUGAGUUCUCGUGGAGCAGCAGCUGAUGGCCUGCACCCAGCAGCUCUGGCCAGUGGCUUGGUGAUGGCCACGGGAAGGCUCUUGUUGGCCAGUGGCUGUUGGGUGUCUGACGUGAUGAGGGAACACCACAGGGAGAUGUGGGAGAAGGACAGUCGAGUCAGUCCUCAAACAGAAAUCAAGUUCACAGCCACGUGCUUUGCAACUGGUGAAGAUUAAGAUCUUAAUUUUUGCAUAUCCUGUGCAUUCUGCAGCCAGAUCUGCUCCAUGUAAGAGGCUUAGGAAUGCUGGCAUGCCAAGUGUGUGUUUUUAGGUUCACUUCCAGAGAAAUAGACUCAUUUCAAUGGAACCAGCUGAUCACAUCAGCACUCAGCUAUUCUGUGGUGUUUCUGUCUCAUGUCGUUUCACUGUCAGAGGUUUUGAUCUUGCCCACACAUCUGUUACAGCUUCAUCUAUCUCUGCUGAUGUUCAGACUCAGACCUUACCAAGAUCAUUAUCAGACCACCUCUGGAUUUCAGUGGCCAAAUGCCCAAAAGCAGUGACUCCCAGCAAGGGCUUCCUCUGCCUAAUACAAAAUAAAGACCAACCUGUGCCGAACUAA